GACGAACGCUGGCGGCGUGCUUAACACAUGCAAGUCGAACGGAAAGGCCCUGCUUUUGUGGGGUGCUCGAGUGGCGAACGGGUGAGUAACACGUGAGUAACCUGCCCUUGACUUUGGGAUAACUUCAGGAAACUGGGGCUAAUACCGGAUAGGAGCUCCUGCUGCAUGGUGGGGGUUGGAAAGUUUCGGCGGUUGGGGAUGGACUCGCGGCUUAUCAGCUUGUUGGUGGGGUAGUGGCUUACCAAGGCUUUGACGGGUAGCCGGCCUGAGAGGGUGACCGGCCACAUUGGGAAUGAGAGACGGCCCAGACUCCGACGGGAGGCAGCAGUGGGGAAUAUUGCACAAUGGGCGGAAGCCUGAUGCAGCAACGCCGCGUGCGGGAUGACGGCCGUCGGGUUGUAAAACGCUUUCGCCUGUGACGAAGCGUGAGUGACGGUAAUGGGUAAAGAAGCACCGGCUAACUACGUG
rnacentral:rRNA from 1 species